rnacentral:rRNA from 1 species
AUUGAACGCUGGCGGCAUGCUUUACACAUGCAAGUCGAGCGGAUGACGGGAGCUUGCUCCUUGAUUCAGCGGCGGACGGGUGAGUAAUGCCUAGGAAUCUGCCUGGUAGUGGGGGACAACGUUUCGAAAGGAACGCUAAUACCGCAUACGUCCUACGGGAGAAAGCAGGGGACCUUCGGGCCUUGCGCUAUCAGAUGAGCCUAGGUCGGAUUAGCUAGUUGGUGGGGUAAUGGCUCACCAAGGCGACGAUCCGUAACUGGUCUGAGAGGAUGAUCAGUCACACUGGAACUGAGACACGGUCCAGACUCCUACGGGAGGCAGCAGUGGGGAAUAUUGGACAAUGGGCGAAAGCCUGAUCCAGCCAUGCCGCGUGUGUGAAGAAGGUCUUCGGAUUGUAAAGCACUUUAAGUUGGGAGGAAGGGCAGUAAGUUAAUACCUUGCUGUUUUGACGUUACCGGCAGAAUAAGCACCGGCUAACUCUGUGCCAGCCGCCGCGGUAA